rnacentral:rRNA from 1 species
UACGAAGGGGGCUAGCGUUGCUCGGAAUUACUGGGCGUAAAGCGCACGUAGGCGGCUCUUUAAGUCGGGGUGAAAUCCUGGAGCUCAACUCCAGAACUGCCUUCGAUACUGUAGAGCUUGAGUUCGGGAGAGGUGAGUGGAACUGCGAGUGUAGAGGUGAAAUUCGUAGAUAUUCGCAAGAACACCAGUGGCGAAGGCGGCUCACUGGCCCGAUACUGACGCUGAGGUGCGAAAGCGUGGGGAGCAAACAGG